rnacentral:rRNA from 1 species
GACAGAGGAGCCAAGCGUUGUCCGGAUUGACUGGGCGUAAAGCGCACGCAGGCGGCUCGGCGCGUGGGGUGUGAAAGCUGGCGGCUUAACUGCCAGACGCCAUCCCAUACGGCUGGGCUCGAGCCCUGCAGAGGUGCAUGGAAUUGCCGGUGUAGUGGUGAAAUGCGUAGAGAUCGGCAGGAACACCCAGGGGGAAACCAGUGGACUGGGCAGGAGCUGACGCUCAGGUGCGAAAGCGUGGGGAGCGAACCGG